rnacentral:lncRNA from 1 species
AUGAUCCCUGAAGCAAUCUGUUAUUUGGUGUUGCAUGCUCUGCAAAAAAAAAAAAGAGCGAGACUUAAAUCAAUAACAAACAUUCUUACAAGUUAUCUACUGCACAAGUAUGUGUCAGGCUUGCUUUACUCGCUGAAUGAAAUCACCCAGUAUGUUGCUACUGUUGGUAUCGUUGCAGCUGUAUCUCUGGACAGAAGUGUUUCUUCAGUAGAGGUUCCCGAGCUCAAAGAAUGAGAGAACAUCCCACAUCAGAAGGGACUCCUGCCUCCUUGCUCUCUAUGGCACUGCCUAGGCUUCAGCUGCUCUGAGUGACGUCCAAAUGCUGUCUGUUCCAAUACCUCCUCCCUUCUUUCUGGCAAGUUUUCUCUUAUCUACCAUCUGAACCUCCUCUGCCCUAACAUCAGGUUGUUCCUUCCCAUCCUAUUGCUAGCUAUAGGGGAAAAGAAGCUGACCCUUGCCACAGCCUCCUUUCAGCUGGUUGGAGAGAGGGAGUUUCAGCCCUUCCUUGAAUGCUUUUUAAGACCUGUAUUCCUUUUUUGUCUUGUACUGCAUUGCCCUGAACUGCACACAACACUCACCCUGAGCAGACUGCAGUUCUCCUAAUUUAGUGAAAUCAGUAAACAUAAUAAAUACACAUUUGACUCUUGUGUCCUGCUCAUUUAUAGAAAUACCCAGGAGACCUGCCUCUGACAAGAAGCUCUGCAAUCUGACUGGUGCCUAUCUCCCAGCUUCUUGCAAUUACGUUUACUCUAGGAAAUGCUUGGAGCCUUUUUUUUUUUUUAUGGGGCUGUCAUUGCUUAGCUGUUUGUUUUAAGAUAUACAAGUAGGAAGAACUGUUUUCUGAUAUGGGUUCUGAUAAAGGUAUAUCCCCUUACCUACUCAAAGACAUAAUACAUGCUUGGAACUAAGCCACAAGUGAAUACAUCUCCCUCCUGUAACUUGGCUGUUCUCUCAAGUGUUGGAGGGGCUCUGAGUCAUGAUAAACUUGUAGGAGUAGUUAGAAAACAGAAGAGACAGCAAUUACUCAAUCAGGAUGUAUUAGACAGUUGAAGUAAAUGGAUGCGUCCCUCUAAUAGAGGAGUGAAUUAAGAUCUCUCUUAAAUCAGUAAUGAAUUCAUAGUUAUGAAUUCAUUGGGUGAGCUUCUCUCACCCAAAGUUGGAUGUUUUUAACUGCUACAAUCCAAGUCAUUUCACAGUUCACAUUAUUAGCAUGUAUCCAGAAUGGCUGAGCAAGAUUUAUGGUUUGCAGCUGUAAAGCCUGAAACCACCAAAAAAAAAAUCCCUCUCGUGGUCUGUAAUGUAUUUCCUGGGUGCCUGUGUUCGGAAGAGAGCUUUCAACAUGCAUACCGCUCUUUGUAAUCUAUUUUCUUAUAAAUGCAAGUACAAACUCUCCUUGCCCUUGCUUUAGCCAGAGGCCAGGGCUAUACAAGUGUAUUCCUCUAUUAGUGAAGAAAAAAAAGGAUUUCCUUUCUUUUAAGUUUUUAUAAGUUUUUAUGACAAAUCAGAAACAAAAUCCUCAAGCCUUAUCUCAUGUAAGCUUGUCAACAACAAUGGCAUUUGACUGUGAACAGUUUCAAUAACUUGACCUUAGUUCUGUCAUUGUUUAUAUAGAGCACCUAUCCCAUGGCACAUGAGAAAGCUCUAAUCUUCUCUAGUAGCUUAUGCUUACGAGUGGUAACAUCCAUAGUCAUCUCCCUUCUCCAUCAACUCCUGUUACCAAGCUGAGAAGAUACAUUCCUCAAUGAGCAUCAAUGAAUGUCAAACUAAGAGGAUUUUUUACUUGAAAAUAAUAAAAAUGAAACUGAACUGUAUAGGGACAAUAGGUCUCACACUUCCUUACCUAAUUUAGCCUUUCUCAGCAGUGCAUAGGUUCGUAAGUACCCAGUGCAACAAAAAACAGUGGUACAAGGACUAAAAGUAAGGAAAGAUCAAAAUUUCAGAUUUCAUCUUUGUAGCUGCACUGGUGCAAUGAGAAGAUAUCAAAAAAAGAAGAAUGCUCACGCAUCUCUGAAGAUACAGGCUCGUGGAAGAACUCCACCAAGGAGGGAUCUCCUGGAAAAGAUCCUUCCUCAGUGGCAGUCAGCCCUUAAAUGAGGUUUAUUAAGAGGGGUGGAGUCUGGCUCCAGUCCUUCCCACAGAUGAAUCGCCUUCACCUGUGCUCCCAAGCCUGACCUGUCUCUUCUUCCAGGUGCUCAAUCAGUGGUUUGGGCCCCGACUCGGCAGUUCCCUUGCAGUCAUGCAAAUCUUAGUGCUUACAAUAUAAGCUAUUUAGACUAACGAGACACACCGGCCUUGAGAGGUCAGAGAGAACUGCUUCCCGGAGGGAAGUGGAACUGCUCAUCCUUCUCAACACCUUUCCCCAGAGAUGAGAUCCAAAAAACUUUUCUAGCCUAACAAAAGCACACGAGAACCAGACAAACAAACUUGAGGAAGAAAUCUGAGCUCACUGGUUGAUUCUGCUGGGGAAGACAGCUGUGGAGAUGGAUGGGCCGACAGUUUUUUUUCUUGUUCUGUUUUCAACAGUAAUCUAAUAAAGUAAGAUCAUCAAACAUAAGAGCGCAUGCCUGAAGUCACAGUCUGAGUCGCUGAAACCUCUUCUCAAUUAUUUACGCUGGGAUCAAGGCAGAAGUCUGAGGUCUCACUUAGAAAAGCUGCAGGAAGAAUUUGCUCAGUCCCCAGACAGGGCCAUCAUCCACCUCUUAAAAGAAAUUUAAUUGCCGUAUCCUCAGGAACUAACUGGUUUCCAACCCGUCUGAUUUCCAGAUGUAAAUUUGCAAAUACUCCAACUCAGAGUAUUUUACUAAUUUUUUCUAAUAAAAUAUCUAGGAAAAUACACUUUCACGCGGCCCAAAUCGUUAACACCGCAGUACAUUCUGUGCUUGGAAAAGUGCCAUUUUAAAUUACCACACACAAGAUUCACAGGAUUAAGA